GAAUAUUGGACAAUGGGCGCAAGCCUGAUCCAGCCAUGCCGCGUGAGUGAUGAAGGCCCUAGGGUUGUAAAGCUCUUUCACCGGUGAAGAUAAUGACGGUAACCGGAGAAGAAGCCCCGGCUAACUUCGUGCCAGCAGCCGCGGUAAUACGAAGGGGGCUAGCGUUGUUCGGAUUUACUGGGCGUAAAGCGCACGUAGGCGGACUUUUAAGUCAGGGGUGAAAUCCCGGGGCUCAACCCCGGAACUGCCUUUGAUACUGGAAGUCUUGAGUAUGGAAGAGGUGAGUGGAAUUCCGAGUGUAGAGGUGAAAUUCGUAGAUAUUCGGAGGAACACCAGUGGCGAAGGCGGCUCACUGGUCCAUUACUGACGCUGAGGUGCGAAAGCGUGGGGAGCAAACAG
rnacentral:rRNA from 1 species